UACAGAGGUCUCAAGCGUUGUUCGGAAUUACUGGGCGUAAAGGGUGCGCAGGCCGCGCGGGCAGUCAAAUGUGUAAUUCAGGGGCUCAACCCCUGCACUGCGCUUGAUACUUCCGCGCUCGAACCUUGGAGAGGAGUCUGGAAUUCUCGGUGUAGCAGUGAAAUGCGUGGAUAUCGAGAAGAACACUUAGGGCGAAGGCAAGACUCUGGACAAAUGCUGACGCUCAUGCACGAAGGCUAGGGUAGCGAACGGGAUUAGAAACCCCGGUAGUCC
rnacentral:rRNA from 1 species